UUGCAGUAUUUUGUUAUUGGGUACCUUUGCCACAAAAGGCUCCUAGGUGCAUUUUUGAGUUUUUAAUGUGCUUGAGAAUGUUCUCAUCUCUAGGCUUGAAGAGCAGAUGGUUAAAUUGUCCUAAUGAUUUGGUGAUCUGGACAACAAAGUGAUACUGUUAUUUCUCAGUGAAACGACUUAAAGAUGGCCCACAUCUCCAGCACUUAGAUGUUCCUCGGAAUCCUGCCUGAGGCCUGGGACCAUGGACCUUUUGUUCACAGCCAGCACGGCUGCCCCAGAAGGCCCCUUUCGUCCUCCGGGAAGUCCAAUCUGUUCUCAGACCACCAGAGCGUCUCUCUGCCUCUUCUAAAACCCCUCUGUAUCGGUAUGAAAGAAGAUUUUUGGUCAGAUGUAUCCAAGGGCUGUGUCCACUUGCUGCCUUACAUUUCUGCUCCUGUGCAGUCAUCACACCCUUGCAGGGAGGGCUUGGUCCAAACCAGGAGGCUGGCCCUCUUCAUUCUCAGUAUCUUGGUGGAUACAUCGGGUUGGUUCUGCUUUGCACAUGUGGCUGUCUUUGAUAUAGUCAGAAAUAGGGAGCCCUUCUUACACUUACACCCCCAGGCAUGAGCUUCACUCCAGCUUAUUAGAGAAACUCUGAAUUAGGUAAUCACUUACUUGGUUUCUUUUCUACAACUUUUCAUUAUAUGCACAGCUUCCUUAGUUAGUCAUCCUGAGGGGGGAGGAGGGCUGUGUGUUAAUAUUUGAGAAAUAAAACCCCACCCUCAAACCCCCAAAUGUCAUGGUCCUUGAAGUGUUAUGAGAGGCCAACUGCUAUGGAAGUUAAAGGCCGAGUUUCUAGAAUCAGAAAGACCAGCAUUGAAUCUGGGCUUCAUUACUCUGGGACUUGAAAAUGUGUCUUAAUCUUAACCUAAGUUUCAAAAAAAAAAAAAAAAUCUUAAUCUAAGUUACUUCAUUGUGAAAGGGAAGCAUGUUUGUAUCUACUACAUAGGGUUGUUGUGCAAAUUCUGUCCGAUAAUGCAUGUAAAGCACUUACUGCAAUCAGUGUCUGUAGGAAGUGGACAAUAAGUGCUAAGUAAAUCAUUUUAGUUUCUAAUUUUGAGGACAAUCAAGAGUACCUACAGCCAUGCAGCAUAUUUUUAUUCAAAAAGAUAAUUAAAUUCAAUUAAAAAAAGCUUUCUCCCAAAGUGGGAUUUAGAAUUAGCUGUGGAUUUUAAUAUUUUUCUUCUCAAUAUGUGGACAGUUUCUGUAUGGUUUAUUUCCCACAGUUUUUUUUUUUUUUUUUUAACACAUGUGUUCCUGCCCUUUACUUCAUAGUGUCAGCACUUUCAGGUCAUGGGGGACACUUAGCAGGGACAACUAAAUCAGAGUUUCAGGGUCAGAAAAGAUUACUGGAGAAAAUGGCAACUCAGCUGGCAAGAGAGAGUUACCCAAGCAUAGUGUGGGCGCAGAGGGUCUCCUGGCCAGCACCACCCACAGGAGAGAGAAAGUUUGAGUGCUGGGGGCUUGCAAGUCAUUUGUUAUGAUUGGGGUUAAAGGAGAGAAAGGAGUGGCUCUAGGUAAGUAUUCCGUCAUUGGCAGGGGUUGGGUCAUAGAGGGUCUAUAACUGGACACGAGAGAGAGGGCUUUCUAAUAAGGGCAAUGGAGAAUCACUGAGGGGUUUUUAAUAAGGCGGCUUAUAUGAGAAAGUGUUUUCUUUAGAAUGACUUUUCCUUACUACAGUGUGAAGAAUGGGUAGAGAAAGAAAGGCAAGAGGCAAUGAGACCACUUAGGAAGUUACAGGAAUCAGGCUGCCAGGAGAUGUUGGUGAUUUACACAAACAUGGUGUUCUUGGGGAUGGAGAAGAGUAGGUGAAUUCUAGAGAUAUUUUAGAGGUUAAUGUAUAGAGCUCCAUGAUUUAUUGGUUAAAAGUAGUGAGAAAGAGGUGAAACAUUUAAGUCUUAAGAUUUAAGUAACUGGUUGAUGGGGGUAUCAUUACUUAAGGUAAGGGCAUGUUUUGUGAGAAAGAAAAUAAAUUACUCAGCCAUUAGAAACGACAAAUACCCACCAUUUGCUUCAACGUGGAUGGAACUGGAGGGUAUUAUGCUGAGUGAAGUAAGUCAAUCGGAGAAGGACAAACAUUGUAUGUUCUCAUUCAUUUGGGGAAUAUAAAUAAUAGUGAAAGGGAAUAGAAGGGAAGGGAGAAGAAAUGUGUGGGAAAUAUCAGAAAGGGAGACAGAACAUAAAGACUCCUAACUCUGGGAAACGAA
rnacentral:lncRNA from 1 species